UCCACGACAACUCUUGGCGACGAGGAUGGGAUGGCUAGCUCCGUUUUCCGAUCGCUCCCGGGGUCUUUGAGGUUAACCGUGCAUGGGGGCUGCUUAGGAGUGGCUCAGGGAACCACACUCUGAAAUAAUUUCAGAGGAGAAGGACCCGCCUUGAACCUGGCUGGAAGCAUCGGUGGACUGAUACGCCAUCCCGAACAAAGACUAAGGCCCCUGCUCCUCAGCCUGACCGACCCGUCCGGGUCCCGCGCCUCCGCCUCUGAUAUCCACCCCAAGCAACCCGACAGGUUUCCAAGGCGGUUCCCGAUGGACUUGGUCCCCUUGGUCGCCCCCUGGAUGAUAAGAUUCUUAUCAUUGUUGCUGUAAUUGUGGCCAGGAAGGACAUUUUGCUAGAGAUUGUCAGAGACAGCAGCAAGCCAACGGGAGUAACUGGCAGAGCGCUCCCCCACCGCAAGUAUCACUAUACAAAACAGAAACCAGAAUGAAGCAAGGCAGGGACAUCUGACACCAACACAGCGAACAAGCAGUACGUGCUUACUUUUUCUAAACCACAAGAAGCCCCCACCGUUGAUCUCUUCGUGAAUGUGCUCGCGCUGCUUGCGCUCCUUUCUUUUGGGUCGCGCCUGUCCAACUGGAAUCCAUGGGGCAGAGAAUCGAGAUGUGCCCCGUGGGGAGGCACUGGGAGGCACGUUUUCACCCUUGCUGAUCGGCCUCCCCAAUUCUCUAUGGGCAAAAGAUAAGUAUGAUAUUGGCCUUAUGAAAGGGGCAGAGCCCAUAACAGUCACACCGGAAAGCACACACCAGCCUAGCCGCACCCAGUAUCCUCUCAGCAAGGAAGCAGAGGAAGGCAUUGCUCCUGUGCAUGCGUCUUUGGUCUCUAGAGGAGCCACUGUGCCCUACCCGGACUCUCCUUGCAACACCCCGAUUCUACCGGUCCGCAAAGCCUCGGGAGAAUGGCGCUUUGUCCAAGACCUCAGGUUAGUAAAUGACACAAUACAUGCAAGGACCCCUUUUGUGCCAAACCCAGUUACUCUUUUGUCAGCUGUUCCCCCCCAAGUGCAAAGUGGUUUACUAUUGUUGAUUUAGCAAUUGCAUUCUUCAGCAACCCUGUUGCAAGUGACUCAUAGUUUUGUUUGCUUUCACCUUUAUGGGGAAACGAUAGACCUGGAGUUAUGCUUCAGGGGUUCAGAGAAUCGCCAGCCGUCUUUUCUGCCGCUUUGGCGCAGAAUCUGGAAGGUUUUGUUCCCCCUGGUGGAAGCAAACUCAUACAGUAUGCGGAUGAUUUGCUUUUAUGUUUUGAAACUCAGCACACGUGCAAAACUGAUACAUGAGCUCUUUUAGAGUACCUAGCUCGUAAUGGCCAUAAGGUAUCAAAAAAAAAAAAAAAAAAAAGCUGCAGCUCGUGUCACCAUCUGUAAAAUACUUGGGACGCGAUAUUAAACCAGAAGGCAGGAAAUUGGGCCUGGAGCGUGUCACUGCAAUUCUGACACUGCCCCAGCCUGCCACAAAAAAACACAUGAUGACGUUGCUAGAUAUGGCUGGCUACUGUAGAGCUUCCAGAUUAUGCUGAAGUAACACAGCCCCUAGCUGACUUGAUACGUAGCCAUAAGAUGACUAUGAAAGACACAAUUGACUAGACUCCUGACAGACUGACUGCCCUAAAAAAAACUUAAACAGCUCUAGUCCUAGUCUAGUCCUCUCCACCCUGUCUUGAGUUACCCGAUCACUCUAAACCUUUUAACCCGUUUGUUUGUGCAAAGGGAGGAUUCAUGUCGGCAGUACUGACACAAGAGCACGGGGGAGAACAACGUCCUGUGGCUUUUUACUCUAAGCGCCUUGAUAAUGUAGCGAGGGCUAGUCUGUUGCUUGAGAGCGGUGGCUGCCACCACUGAAGCUGUGCUGGCUAGUGCUGACCUAGUUGCAAUGUGCCCGCUAACUGUACAUGUUCCUCAUGCAGUACAUGCUCUCAUUUCACAGGCCAAGACAGCACAUCUGAAUGCACAUUACCAGAAUGUAUUAAUGACCAUGUCACAUGUCGUGCUAAAACGCUGUACUGUGCUUAACCCUGCUACACUUCUUCCUACAGAAGCCGAUGGAGAGCCUCAUGAUUGCAUCGCCUUAGUAGAACAGGUCUGCAAGCCACAACCCGAUCUUACUGAUGUGCCCGUGUUGAACGUGCCAGGCACACGCUGACGCUUCUGAUCCUGUCUCUCAAGGGAAUGCUGUUGCAGAUGCUGCUGCUAAAGCAGCUGCCGCAUCAACUCAGGCCCCUGUGCUCCAAGUGGUGUCAUUACCUGCCUUAACUGAAUCUGUAUUUUCUUUACAGGAUGUAGCUGACUUACAACACAGUGUGGGUCCUGCUGAGAUAGCUCUGUGGAAAAACAAAUGCUCUGAUGAUUCUACUCAUAAGAUUUGGAGAGGACCCACUGGGUUGCCUGCCCUUCCCCGUUCAUGUUUCCCUUAUGUAGCUGAUUUGGCACACGGCCAAGACCAUGUGUCAAAGGGAGGGGCGGUGAAUGUCGUUAACAAUUUUUUGUUUGCUCCAGGUUUUUAAACAUAUGCUAACCAAUUUUGUGCUAAAUGUGUGAUUUGUGUGACCAACAAUGUAGACCGCAGCACGCCCAUGUCAGUGUCUGCUCAUCCAAGGCCUGAGGGCCCCUUUGAACAUGUUAUGAUGGAUUUUAUUGAAUUGACACCUUGCCAAGGUUACAAGUACUGCCUUGUGAUAAUUGAUGCCUUUUCUAAAUGGACUGAAACAUUCCUCUGCAGACAUGCCACAGCUAUGGCAGUAGCAAAAAGCCUAAUGAGAGAGAUUAUACCCCGGGUAGGGUCUGCCAUCUAAAUUGACACCUGACAAUGGUUCUCAUUUUGUGAACAGUGUGGUACAGAACAUUUCUGAAAGCCUACAAAUUGAUUUACACACACACUGUAGCUACCACCCUGCCAGCGGAGGCUUGGUGGAGUGAACCAAACAAUAAAAACUAAACUAAACUAAGCUCAUGGCUGAAACAGGGCUCUCCUGGGUUACAGUAUUGCCAUUGGCCCUGAUGUACACGCGUGGAAGCACACACAGUACUACAGAGCUAGCACCCCAUGAAGUAUUGACGGGAUGCCCAAUGCGGAUGCUGAACACACCUUUUCCUCAAAAUAGGCUCACCCUAAUGGGAUGUGAAAAUGAAAUGGUAAAAUAUUGUGCUUCUCUUAACAAUGUUCUGAAGUCUAUAUUUCCCAGGGUACAAGAGCGAAAAAGUACUCCGUGGAAGCAUCUGCUAAGAUGUGUGAGGCCUAGAAGGCAUAUUUCGG